AAGACUGUGCCUGCAGAUGACCAUGGGCGAGUUCCACCUAUGGGUGCAUGUGGUUAAGACUGUUGUCCGGGGGGCAUACACACCACCUGCCACAAGUGUUGCCUCUGCCACGAUGUGUGGUGACCACCUGAGAGUAUUGCCUCUCGGGUGGACAUGAGGAGAUCACACAGACUGUUGUAAAGUUGGAAGAGGUUAGGAUCGUGCCAUCCACCCACAGCCCUUAUAAUUCCUUGGUUUGGCCAGUGAGGAAGCCUGACAGCACGUGGCGUAUGACAGUGGAUUACUGGGAAUUAAAUAAAGUGACUCCUCUGUUGCAUGCUGCUGUGCCCUCGGUGCAUGACAAUGGAUCAGCUUAACAGUCCGAUUGGGACAGUACCACUAUGCUGUGGACCUCGUUGAUGCCUUCUUUUCCAUCGAUAUUGCUGCUGAGAGUCAAGAUCAGCUUGCCUUCACCUGGGAUGACAGACAGUGGACUUUCUGUGUGUGGCCACAAGGAAACCUGCAUGGCCCCACUAUUUGUCACGGGCUCAUUGCUCAGGACUUCGCUGCCUGGGCUCACAGUGAUGCAGUGCUUGUAUUUCACUAUACUGACGAUGUUACGUUAACCUCUGACUCUUGCAGAUCUAGAGCACGCUGCUGAUUCCCUGCGGAAGCAUCUGGCAACAUGUGGUUGGGUGGCCAAUGACACCAAAGUCCAGGGACCUGGUUUAUCUGUCAAUUCUUAGGGGUUGUCUCGUCAGAUGGAGUGUGGCAAAUAGUGUUGUGGACUGGACGCACACCUUUGCUGAGGUGGCCAAUGUGUCUAACUGCUGGGUGUGCACAGAACUGCCCACCAUCGUGGCAGUAGGCUUGCCGUGGCACAUCCACCCUGCUUCAGAAGGAAACCGGACCUGAUUGCAUUCCUGGGGACCUGCCAAUGCUCAGUGGGACCAAAGAAGGUGCCCAGUGGACCAGAAGCUGCACUGACAACGUGGACCUAAACGGCCCCGGGCAACCCCAAGCCUCUGGGGUGGCUAUGGGUGGUUACCCAGGGAGGCUGUUGCGCUCCGCACGUCUGUGCCCCUAUGCAUAGAGCAACAAAAGGGGGAUGUGAUAGCAGGGUGGGUACCCAAGGAGCUGUGUCAGAAGAUCCAGUGAGUGACCCAGCCCAAGUAUUGGUAGAAUGUCUGUCCCUAUGUGGGAACGAUCCCCACAGACAGUGUACCCAUGGGCAGUCUCUGGGUAUGUGGUAGUUAUGCAUGGCCUUAUCUCCCGGCCAACUAGACAGGGCGAUGUACCCGGGGGUGGCCCUAUCUCCUGGCUACCGUUUGGAGAACCUUGGACGUGCGCCCCAGCAAUUGGGAGAGGGUAAAAGGGCGCUAUCAGCAGGAGAAAUGAACACCCUGGUGGGUUUACCCGCAGACUGUUCUUAGUCUGUCCGUGGGGAUGAUUGCUGUGGAGUGGCACGUUACUGCCUUGGCACAGCAUACUGCCCGGGCCCUCAAUCAUACAGCCCAGGCCCUGUCUCUCUUAACUGAUGAAGUAGACCAGACCGGGAAGGUUGUGCUGUAGAACCGCAUGGCUCUAGACAUCCUUACUGCAGCACAAGGGGAGACCUGUGCAGUCAUUGAGGUGCAAUGUUACAUGUAUAUACCAGAUAAAGCAAGGAACAUAUCACAAGCCUUGCGACAGGCCAAGCAGGAGAUCUUGAGGAUCCAGAUGUUGAUGGGAGACCCCCUACAGGAAUGGUGGUCUGAGCUGUCCUCCUCAUGGCAGUGGGUUCUCAUCACAUUAGGAAGUAUAGCUUGUCUCUUGGUGGUCGUUUGCUGUUCUCUGUGUUGUUGUUGUGGAAUGUGGGUCCAAGGCAUUGGGCUGUGUGCCCCUACCUCCCACAGGCUCCCCCCACUGCUGAGGUCCCAUGGGGGUGGAGGGAAGGGAGAUGGAGGUUCUGUGGACCAUCAGACCAGAGCAGCUUCCAGGCGGAUGUGACUCAGCAUGUCCGCUGCAGGCAGCACAUGCGCCAACCAUGUAUGUAAACACCUUAUGUAACCUGCAUAAUGUAAACAUUGUCUGCUGGCUGUCUGCCACUUUUGUCCAGUAGUCAUAUAAAAGCGGCCACAAGGGGAGCCGCUGCAGUCCAACCAUCAGUUGGCCAGAGUGAAUAAAGAGUAUGUCUGCUUUGC